GACAGAGGUGCCGAGCGUUAGGCGGAAUCACUGGGCUUAAAGCGUGUGUAGGCGGAGUUCUAAGUACCUUGUGAAAUCCCACGGCUCAACCGUGGAACUGCUUGGUAUACUGGUUCUCUUGGGUCGUCUAGGGGCGAGCGGAACAAACGGUGGAGCGGUGAAAUGCGUAGAUAUCGUUUGGAACGCCAAUGGUGAAAACAGCUCGCUGGGGACGUACCGACGCUGAGACACGAAAGCCAGGGGAG
rnacentral:rRNA from 1 species